GGCGAACGCUGGCGGCGUGCCUAAUACAUGCAAGUUGAGCGCUGAAGGUUGGUACUUGUACCAACUGGAUGAGCAGCGAACGGGUGAGUAACGCGUGGGGAAUCUGCCUUUGAGCGGGGGACAACAUUUGGAAACGAAUGCUAAUACCGCAUAAAAACUUUAAACACAAGUUUUAAGUUUGAAAGAUGCAAUUGCAUCACUCAAAGAUGAUCCCGCGUUGUAUUAGCUAGUUGGUGAGGUAAAGGCUCACCAAGGCGAUGAUACAUAGCCGACCUGAGAGGGUGAUCGGCCACAUUGGGACUGAGACACGGCCCAAACUCCUACGGGAGGCAGCAGUAGGGAAACUUCGGCAAUGGACGAAAGUCUGGCCGAGCAACGCCGCGGGAGUGAAGAAGGUUGUCGGAUCGUAAAACUCUGUUGGUAGAGAAGAACGUUGGUGAGAGUGGAAAGCUCAUAAAGUGACGGUAACUACCCAGAAAGGGACGGCUAACUACGUG
rnacentral:rRNA from 1 species